GGCUUCCAGCCGAGGACGCCCUGUGGUCGGAAGACCGUGUCCUCCUGGCCGAGAGCUGACCCUGGGUGUUAUGGCAGAAUGGCCCCAGCCAGACCAGCCGACCAAGACCUGGAGGGCUCUUCUGCAUUUUCUGAACACUCUGAAAAAAGAACCGAAGCCAAACCCACCAAACAAAAAUCUCUGAACUCCAUCUGGCUCCGCGGCACGUGCCUGCUACGGUCAGAUUCACAGAUCGCGGGCGCGAACUUGCUUCCAUUUAAUUAGCCAUUUCCUCCAGGUAUGUUCCCCGAGUGCUACGUGGGGGCAACUGCGAUACAAGGGUUGGGGAGACAGGCUUCACGAAGGAGAGUGGGGGGCCCUUAGCGAAGGCAGGGGUGCCGCACUCAGUACCGGCACCGGCGUGGGCACCCGCCCCACUCCCUGCAGCCCCGGCAGAGAAAUCUACACACUCAGGAGAGGAGGCCGCGACCCCGGCUCCCGUAGCCUCUGGUUACAGUUAAGGACAGAAUCUCAUCCCUACCUCCUUCUCUGCACACGCCUGGUGCUCAGCAGGGGAGAGGCAGGAGGGCAGAGCGGACACUACCUGGCUUGCUGAGAAGCCAGGCUGGGCGCUGCCUGGGCCUCAACUGUCUUGACUAUAAAGCAAGAAUAGGAAUGCCUA